rnacentral:rRNA from 1 species
GUCGAGCGUCCGGUUAAAGCCGCUGAAUUGUUCGCGUUUACCUUGCGUGUACGCGCAGGAAACACUGACGUUCUUACUGACGCAGAAGAAAACGUGCGUCAAAAAUUACGUGCAGAAGGAGUGAUGUAAUGUCUAAAGGUAAAAAACGUUCUGGCGCUCGCCCUGGUCGUCCGCAGCCGUUGCGAGGUACUAAAGGCAAGCGUAAAGGCGCUCGUCUUUGGUAUGUAGGUGGUCAACAAUUUUAAUUGCAGGGGCUUCGGCCCCUUACUUGAGGAUAAAUUAUGUCUAAUAUUCAAACUGGCGCCGAGCGUAUGCCGCAUGACCUUUCCCAUCUUGGCUUCCUUGCUGGUCAGAUUGGUC